rnacentral:rRNA from 1 species
GACGAACGCUGGCGGCGUGCUUAACACAUGCAAGUCGAACGCUGAAGCUCAGCUUUUGUUGGGUGGAUGAGUGGCGAACGGGUGAGUAACACGUGAGUAACCUGCCUCCUUCUUUGGGAUAACGCCCGGAAACGGGUGCUAAUACUGGAUAUUCACUGGUCUUCGCAUGGGGGUUGGUGGAAAGGGUUUUUCUGGUGGGGGAUGGGCUCGCGGCCUAUCAGCUUGUUGGUGGGGUGAUGGCCUACCAAGGCUUUGACGGGUAGCCGGCCUGAGAGGGUGACCGGUCACAUUGGGAAUGAGAUACGGCCCAGACUUCUACGGGAGGCAGCAGGGGGGAAUAUUGGAAAAUGGGCGCAAGCCUGAUGCAGCGACGCCGCGGGAGGGAUGGAGGCCUUCGGGUUGGGAACCUCUUUCGGUUAUGGUCAAGCCGCAAAAAUGGUUGGGGGGAAGGUAGUGGGUAAAGAAGCGCCGGCUAACUACGUG